UUGAUGGGGUUUAUCUACGCCUGCUAUGUGGUCAAGCUCAUUUCGGAGGAAGAGGAUAGCUUUGAUUUUAUAGGAGGGUUCGACUCGUACGGCUACCAGGGCCCUCAGAAGACCUCCCACCUUCAGCUACAGCCCAUGUACAUGUCAAAGUAAACCUAGGAGCGCUGCCUUACCAACCACCGCUGCUCAACUUUUACCACAGGAUACAGAGGACACUAAGAUAUUCUGCUUCACCUCCAACCCCCCCUUCCAGUACUUGGUCACAUUGCUUCCCUGGUCUGUCUUUCUGCUGUUUUUUUAAUGGAGUUAGUUAUGUUUCGUGAUGAAACACUGGCCUCGUGUGGUUGAACACUGUAACUGUGUGAAACACCAGUACAAGCAGCUCCGGUGCAUUUUCUUCUUGAAGGAAACAAUCAGGAACCUUGCUUCCCUUUGUGAUUUGGGGUAUUUGCAUUGUGAAAGAAACCAAAAGGAUGUAAAGAUCAGGAUUCCAAGAUGUUAACACUUUUUCUUCAAGCUGCUGCAGACAAUGCAGAUAUGCCUGACCAAAGAGUAAAAAAAAAAAACACAUCCUCACGUAAACAGAAGAGCCUGUUAAAGCAUCUCUGAAAGGUUUUGCUCUUUGUGCCUGACACAUCAGACACUGGACUUCCAACCAUACUGACCCUGCAUCUACUAACAAGACGACCGAUAUAGGAAUGUCAGAAAUAUUUUCUACAGUUUCUGAUUGGUGCAAGUUUUGAGCUUGUUACAACUCCAGACUCAAGCUCGAGCACACACCACACGUUUUCAUCUGUCGUUCCAUCAGAAACGUUGAAUGUCAGUGAACAGUUAGAUUGACAUACUUUCAUUUAAUAUGUGCAUGUGUAUAAAAAACACACAGGCAUUAACUGAUGCAUAUGUGAAUUCACACGCACGCACACACACACACACACACACACACACACACACACACACACACACACACACACACACACACACACACACACACACACACACACACACAAACACAAACUAAACAGAUGUGUUAACGUUUUUACUGCUAAUAUGAAUCUUAACAAUGUUUACAAUAGAACAGUAGUCUGCCGGACAGAGAGACUGACAUACAGGAGACUUUUAAGGUCUAGCAAUCUCAAAGGCCACGGGGUGUUUUCUGCCACAUUAAACAGACAGAACAGAUGUUCCACAUGUGUCCUCCGGUCUCUUGCUGUCUAAAUACUUUGUCUUCCAUCCAAGACAGACCGGUAGAGGUAUAUAAAGAUAGAACAUUACAAAGAAAACAACCGCAGGAGAAGGAUUGAGGUCAGGCAACAGUUUCCUUUCCACUUCAGUCCUUUUGUAGCUUCCCUUGUCACUCGCCCAUCGUUAAAGCAGGCAAGUUUUUCCCUGCUGUAUUUCUGAAUAAUAUUUUUUUUAAAGCUGGCGGUCAGAUCAAGUGUCCAAUCUGCCAAAUCUGAAGCAUCCAGCUCAUACGAAUAACAGAAAUAGUUCACACUCUUCCACAGGCAUACAUCAUGAGAAAAACAAACACAACAGAAAUGACAAUCACAGUUAAAGUGACCUGAAUUUGAUCAAUGAUUGGCAUUUUUUUGUACCAUAACAAAUGUGACAUGAAGCUGAAAAAUGGCCAUCAUGGCAUUUAAGUUAGUAAGUUAAUGUUUUGAUUUAUUUGUUGCAUAUUCAAACCACUAGAGGAUGAGAUUGGUGAAAAAAAGGAGAAACUAAAUGACUGAGGCUGAAUCUGCGCUGACACAGCAAACGUUCGCCCUCGCAUGCAGACUAACAAGGACAAAGACGGUACCAGAGAGAUUCCAGAGUCACAGCAGCUCCCUCUCUUCACCUCACCAGUCAAAUGUUAAUGUUGAAAGUGCCAACCAUAUCACCACAUGGACAUCCGUGGAGCCUAGUUUCUGAAAUCCACAGACUGGGAACAAAAAUAAUGGGUCUCCGGUUCAGUUUCUUGGAUUUCCAUGUAAGAAAAAUAGAUAGAAUACAGCAAGGAUAUACAAAAGCAAAAGAAAACACAUUUGCAUUCAUUGCUGCCAGCAGGUUUUUUAUUUUAUUCUGCUCAGAAAAUUCAACUGAUUCCUUCUGGAAACGUAACUUAUCAUGUUGCAUUUGUGUUGCAAUCACUUGAUAAAAAGUUUGAGGCCUUCUCCGUCAACCAAGGAACAUUUCUGUGUGGUAACACAGGCAUGACGAUGGACUAUUCCCCUCUACAAGCUACAAAGUCCGCCCCCCUCUGCCAGAUAUCUUCAGCCGUUCUUGUUUUGUAACAAAACUCUGUUGGGUACGUUCAGAGUCGCUGCCCCAUGAGGCUCCACCGAGAGUCACUCCGGAGGACAGAAACAACGUUUUGUGUGUUUGCAUGAGGUGUUUCCAAACUGUUGCGUAUUUAAUCUCAUGCUGCGUGUGACUAACUAGCUACUUAAGAUGGGAACUGUUUGGUUUGUUGAAUGCUCCUCAACUCUCUUCAGAGUCCUAAAUGUGAACUUUGUGAUUUUUCUAUAAAUAACAGUCUGAAAUGUCUGCUGAGUAAAGGAGAUAAAAUAGCUACUACAACGUAAAACGACGAAAUGUAACUUUGAACUUCUAGACGUUUUUUAAUCACAUGUGGCCGUGUUUACUGUUUUUUCUAGUUGACUACUAAUGUAUGAUGUUGUGUACAAGUGGGACUACUGUGUUUUAUUUCUUCUAAUUGUACAGUGUAUUUUGAAAUGAGAGAGUAAGAGGAGAAUGGGAGGAAAGGGAAUUAGUUGCACUAUAGUCUGUAAUUCUUUUAUUCACCUUUCUGUCAGGGCAGGAAAUUCACUUUCACUUCACCGGAUAAUUAGCGUUACAAUUUUAAUUUAGAUUUGAAUUGUCAACCAACACCAAUGAUUUAUAUUUCAUAAAUGAGAACUGCAGAUGAAGCGUCUUGUUGAAAAAUUCAAAUCAGGAACUAAAGCUGUGAAUAUUAUUAGAAGCAUAAUUGAAAAAGAUAGUCGUUGGUGUAAUUAGCAAAUUUGAACUGAAUGUGAAUUUAUUUGUUAAUUUGUGUUUAAUGGAGACAAUUAAUUAAAUUUCACCUGGUAUUGUGGAACCAAUAUUAACGCCAAUCUGGCAGGAAAUAGAGAAGAUUUCGGAUAUAUAAUGUAACCCAAAUGUAUGUGUAUGUAUGUGUGUGUGCUUGGGUGUGCGUUUGAGACCUUGUACUGCAGUUCAUUGUACUUUUCUGUCAUGGUGAACUGAACAACGCUUAACCCAGAACCUGCAGAGCUGCGACUUCAUCACAAACAAAAAAGGAAAUAGAACUCAUCAAGUGUCGUAAAAACAGCAAUAACAACCGUAAUAAUAUAUUUUAAAGUAAUAAUGAAGACAGAAUCUCCACAGUUUGUUAUUUAUCUUCACAGUUGCUCGAUUACAUUUAGACUUUGGAACAGUCAAUAGGGCUUUUCUCUGCAGAUCUAAGAUUGCACAUCUGUAUAUAAAGUGUUAAACAUUUGCAGAAGAAGCUCGAAGCAAGCCGUUAUUUUGUUAAAUGUUGUUGUUGCAAAGUUCUAAAUCUGUACUAAUAGUUCAAAAUCCCUCCUUAAGUAUACUGUAACUACUCUAUUUUAAGCCUACACAUUCUGGCAAGAAUUCAUUUUUAUUACUGAAAUAAAUAAUAUUCGUAUGAAUAUUAACAAAUGAGAAACACUAUAAAUGAUUUAAUAAAUAUUUGCGUAUUUAAAAAAUGUGCCCAUCAAACUUUCAAACGAUAAAUAUUUUAAUAAAAUCUUAAAUAUUUAUGACUUAAUUCGCAACAAUCAAAAGUUAAGGUUGAUAACACAUAGGUUUUUAUGUAUUAAGAGAAAACCAUUUAAAAUCUUAGAUAAUGUUUUUCCAGAUUUAAUUGUCAGUGUCCCACUAUCAUCAUUUUUGGAUUCAAAUGUAGCUUAAUUCACAAUAUAAUUAAGAAAAUGGGUGUUCUGUGUCUUAAAAUAUUACAUUUGGUGCUUGCAUACUUUGUUUAAUAAGAAAAUGCAGCUGUUAAAGGGACACAAUUGGAAUAUCAUGUAAAAGAAAACUGUAUAGUACCCAUUACAGAACCUUGAGGUACUUCCCAACUUAAUGUAGCUUCUAAAUAAAGUUAUUAGGCAACUUCUCAUCUUAAAGAGUAAACAUUUGUCAUACAAAUUGUUUAAUACUCUGAAAAUGUAUUGCCCUAUAUUUUAUUUUUUAACGCACCAGAAACAAGCAUGUUAUAGGAGUAUUUAGAAAGUGCAAUAACACAUAUUCAUAAUACCUUCGACAACUAUUCACAAUGUCAGUGUGUCAUCAAUGCAGGAACAUGCCAGUAAAGUGGCAUUAUCCAAACUGUGCUCUGGGUUGACUUGGUAAUGUUCACCAUUGACUAGAACAUCUAUGUGGGUGUCUUCUCUUUUUAUGAUGGUUUUUCCCACAGGUGACUGACUGUACAUAAACUAGACAGUUGGGAAUAAAGUAGACAGUGGAGA